UACAGAGACUGCAAGCGUUAUUCGGAUUCACUGGGCGUAAAGGGUGCGCAGGCGGCCGUGUGUGAGGCGUGAAAGCCCGGGGCUUAACCCCGGAAUUGCACCUCAAACUACAUGGCUAGAGCAUUGGAGAGGGUAGCGGAAUUCACGGUGUAGCAGUGAAAUGCGCAGAUAUCAGGAGGAACACCGGUGGCGAAGGCGGGUCUCUGGGCAAUAACUGACGCUGAGGAGCGAAAGCGUGGGGAGCGAACAGG
rnacentral:rRNA from 1 species